rnacentral:rRNA from 1 species
UGGGGAAUAUUGCACAAUGGGCGCAAGCCUGAUGCAGCCAUGCCGCGUGUGUGAAGAAGGCCUCGGGUUGUAAAGCACUUUCAGCGAGGAGGAAGGUGGUGAGCUUAAUNCGCUCAUCAAUUGACGUUACUCGCAGAAGAAGCACCGGCUAACUCCGUGCCAGCAGCCGCGGUAAUACGGAGGGUGCAAGCGUUAAUCGGAAUACUGGGCGUAAAGCGCACGCAGGCGGUUUNUUAAGUCAGAUGUGAAAUCCCCGGGCUCAACCUGGGAACUGCAUUUGAAACUGGCAAGCUAGAGUCUCGUAGAGGGGGGUAGAAUUCCAGGUGUAGCGGUGAAAUGCGUAGAGAUCUGGAGGAAUACCGGUGGCGAAGGCGGCCCCCUGGACGAAGACUGACGCUCAGGUGCGAAAAGGCGUGGGGCAGCAAACAGGAUUAGAUACCCUGGUAGUCCACGCUGUAAACGAUGUCGAUUUUGGAGGUUGUGCCCCUUGAGGCGUGGCUUCCGGAGCUAACGCGUUAAAUCGACCGCCUGGGGAGUACGGCCGCAAGGUUAAAACUC